rnacentral:rRNA from 1 species
AUUGAACGCNGGCGGCAUGCUUUACACAUGCAAGUCGGACGGCAGCACAGAGAAGCUUGCUUCUUGGGUGGCGAGUGGCGAACGGGUGAGUAAUAUAUCGGAACGUACCGAGUAAUGGGGGAUAACUAAUCGAAAGAUUAGCUAAUACCGCAUAUUCUCUGAGGAGGAAAGCAGGGGACCUUCGGGCCUUGCGUUAUUCGAGCGGCCGAUAUCUGAUUAGCUGGUUGGUGGGGUAAAGGCCUACCAAGGCGACGAUCAGUAGCGGGUCUGAGAGGAUGAUCCGCCACACUGGGACUGAGACACGGCCCAGACUCCUACGGGAGGCAGCAGUGGGGAAUUUUGGACAAUGGGCGCAAGCCUGAUCCAGCCAUGCCGCGUGUCUGAAGAAGGCCUUCGGGUUGUAAAGGACUUUUGUCAGGGAAGAAAAGGCUGUUGCUAAUAUCGACAGCNGANGACGNUNC